UCGAACUUUCAUUAUGCGCACUUCUGACAAGAAUCGAUUUCUGGCGCGGCAGCUGUCAGUCUCUCUUUGUAGCAGAAGCAGUCUGAGCUAGUGACUGAAUGGUGCGAAACUAAUGAAGUUCAGUUUAAAAGAAGAGUUCCUCAAGUAAAGCGCUCUCUCUCUCCACCAAGCGGUGCAACACAACCCCACAUAUUACAGCAACCUACAGAAAGGGAACCAUCACUCAGUGCUGAGGAGCUCUUCUAUCUGUCAGCUCCACCACAAACCCACUACAGGAAACAGUGCAGAAUGCUUUCCACUGCCUAUCACACUCAGAAGGGUGGGAGGAAACCAAACUACCAGUGGUACCAGUGGCUGAAAACGUGUAGCUCAGUGGUCCCCAACCACGGGGCUGGGAACCGGUAGCAGUCUGUGGGUCAUUUAUAACCGGG